GCCUAGCUGGGAUAGCUCAGUUGGUAAGCAUGAGACUCUUAAUCUCUAGGUCAUGGGUUCAAGCCCCACGUUGGGAA